rnacentral:rRNA from 1 species
AGUGAACGCUGGCGGUAGACCUAACACAUGCAAGUCGAACGGCAGCACAGUAAGAGCUUGCUCUUACGGGUGGCGAGUGGCGGACGGGUGAGGAAUACAUCGGAAUCUACUUUUUCGUGGGGGAUAACGUAGGGAAACUUACGCUAAUACCGCAUACGACCUACGGGUGAAAGCAGGGGAUCUUCGGACCUUGCGCGAUUGAAUGAGCCGAUGUCGGAUUAGCUAGUUGGCGGGGUAAAGGCCCACCAAGGCGGCGAUCCGUAGCUGGUCUGAGAGGAUGAUCAGCCACACUGGAACUGAGACACGGUCCAGACUCCUACGGGAGGCAGCAGUGGGGAAUAUUGGACAAUGGGCGCAAGCCUGAUCCAGCCAUACCGCGUGGGUGAAGAAGGCCUUCGGGUUGUAAAGCCCUUUUGUUGGGAAAGAAAAGCAGCAGGUUAAUACCCCGCUGUUCUGACGGUACCCAAAGAAUAAGCACCGGCUAACUUCGUG